rnacentral:tRNA from 1 species
GCCUCAUUAGCUCAGUCGGUAGAGCAGCGGACUGUUAAUCCGUUUGUCGUUGGUUCAAGUCCAUCAUGAGGCGCCA